ensembl:processed_transcript
UGAAAUAUCACUCUUUUUAUGCAAUAAUAGUAAUUUACAUAUUUUAUUAAAGCUACUGCAGACAGAAACCUGUAUUCUGGAAAAAUCUGAACCUUAAAAUGACAGCACAUCUGAUGUCUUUUAGGAUAUAUACGUCACGAGUAUUAGUAAAAGUACUCAGCAGACCCCCUAGAGCAGAGUCCUGGAGGGCCGGGCACUCCACCUAUAUGUACAGUCCACCAGCAUUUGGAUGAGUGGGGAUGUGGUGGUUGAUGUGCAGCGCGAACUGAAGAC